UGAAUUGAACAUGACGGCCAGGAGAAGCUAACAUCCGAAACAAGUCCCAUUAUCUUAGAGCUCAACAUGCACGCAAGUAGAAGAUGCCGUUAGCGUAGAUGGAAGUUGGAAUCAAGCAACUGAUGGCGUUUUCUAAGAUGUUGCUUGUGAGAUGUACCAUACAACUUAAGGAACACAGGACAUGCACCGCAUGAACUCAGGCCCAUCGCCUGUGGUUCCGAGAACCAUUUUCAGCUUCCGCGGCGGCUAAAAACUGCUGUCAAAAUAUUGAUAUUUCUCCACCAGUUGUUACUUAGGCAGGGUCCGGGGUAGGAGUAGAAGAACCGUUACCAGAUUUUGCCGGCUUGUUC
rnacentral:lncRNA from 1 species